AUAUCUGGCAAUGUUACAGUGUAAGUAACACUUGUCAGAUAUUUUUCUCAUCACUCAGCUCUACACUUGUCACUCCCCUAUAUAUAUCCUUCUUCUUCCCCUUCCAUUUCCACACUCAAAACUCAAAACACAAUCUUCUCCGCCCUAAAUCCCAGUUCUCAAUUCUUCUCCAUCAAUGGCUUCCACCUUAGCUUCCUCUGUUAUUUCCAAGACUAAUUUCAUUGACACACACAAAUCAUCCUUCUAUGGCGUUCCAAUUUCAUCACAAACUCGAUUGAAAAUCGUUAAAUCGACUCCACAAAACAUGUCUGUUUCCAUGUCUGCUGAUGCUUCUCCUCCUUACGAUCUCGGAAGUUUCAGUUUUAAUCCGAUUAAGGAAUCGAUUGUUGCUCGCGAAAUGACUCGGAGGUAUAUGACGGAUAUGAUUACUUAUGCUGAUACUGAUGUUGUCAUUGUUGGUGCUGGAUCUGCUGGUUUAUCUUGUGCUUAUGAACUCAGCAAGAACCCUAAUGUUCAGGUGGCUAUUCUUGAGCAAUCUGUGAGCCCUGGUGGAGGUGCUUGGCUAGGUGGACAACUCUUCUCUGCUAUGGUUGUGCGUAAGCCAGCACAUCUUUUCUUGAACGAGCUAGGCAUUGACUACGACGAGCAAGACAACUACGUGGUCAUCAAACACGCUGCCUUGUUCACCUCAACCAUCAUGAGCAAGCUUUUGGCCAGGCCAAAUGUGAAGCUCUUCAAUGCUGUUGCAACAGAGGACCUUAUCGUGAAGAACGGAAGAGUCGGUGGUGUUGUCACUAACUGGUCUUUGGUUUCCCAGAACCACGACACACAAUCCUGCAUGGACCCUAAUGUUAUGGAGGCUAAGAUUGUGGUCAGCUCUUGUGGCCACGACGGCCCCAUGGGCGCCACCGGUGUUAAGAGGCUCAGGAGCAUUGGCAUGAUCAACAGUGUCCCUGGAAUGAAAGCUUUGGACAUGAACGCUGCUGAGGACGCGAUUGUUAGACUUACCAGAGAGGUCGUACCUGGUAUGAUUGUCACAGGAAUGGAAGUUGCUGAAAUUGAUGGAGCACCACGAAUGGGUCCAACUUUUGGAGCUAUGAUGAUAUCAGGACAGAAGGCAGCUCACCUCGCCCUACGAGCGUUGGGAUUGCCCAACGCCCUUGAUGGAACUGCAGAAACAAGCGUCCUCCCGGAGCUUAUGUUGGCUGCAGCUGAUGAAGCUGAAAUUGCUGAUGCUUGAAUGUAAUUAUAGUUUUCUAAGCAAGGAUUAUGAGAAAUAUUAGUUUUUCCUAGAUAAGUGAGUAUGGUUGUGGUGGUGAUGAUAAAUUGGUAAGGGGAUGAUGAAUAAGAGUCUUCAAGAUGAAAGUCAUUGUGUUAACUUUGGCUAUUUUAUUUUGAUUUAUUUCUAUUUCGAAACUUUUAUGGAAGAAAGUAGAUUUUAGUUUUGGUCGUUCCUUGAAUAAUCUUUUAGGCCUUUUGGGCUUUGUACUUGAUAUGGUUUGGGCCUCAUUGGAGAAGCCAUAUGAAUGAACAUUGUGAUUGGGCG
rnacentral:misc_RNA from 1 species